rnacentral:SRP_RNA from 1 species
GCUGGGUGUGGUGGCACACACCUGUAAUCCCAGCUACUUGGGAGGCUGAGGCAGGAGAAUCACUUGAACCCAGGAGGCAGAGGUUGCAGUGAGCCGAGAUUGUGCCACUGCACUUCAGCCUGAGCAACAGAGUGAGAUUCUGUUUCAA